rnacentral:lncRNA from 1 species
AAUUUCUUUGUUCUUAAUAUUCUCAGUUUCAACUACCUGAGAAUAGAUAUAUAAGAAAGAAAUGUUCAUAUUUCUUUCUUUUGAAUUUUUUAUUUGUUUAGUAGUACAUGUUUGUAGUAUAUAUUGUUUACAUUCUUUGUGGGGAGUUGGUACAUGUACAUAACACACCUUAAUUUAUUUUUUUCGUCUUCUUCCUCUUCUACCAUCCCCUCUCCCUCUGUCUCCUGUUCCACUUUCCACUUGAGAAAGAUAUAGCUUCCUACUCCCUGUUAUAUAACUUUUAUUUUAUCUUUAUUUAUAAUUUUCAUAUAAGAGAAACCAUGUGAUAUUUAAGCUCCUGUGUCUGAUUUAUUUCACAUAUAGUCUCAAGGUACAUCCAUUUUCCCACAAAUGGCUCAAGUAUAUCCUUUCUGGCAGAAUAAUAUUUCCAUUGUGUGUUUUCUAGUUUCUGUUUUUUAAGGAACCUCCAUACUGAUUUCUAUAGCGGUUGUACCAGUUUACAUUCCCACCAAAAAUAUUGAAGUGUUUCUUUUUCCCCUAAUCCUCACCGGCAUUUGCUGUUGUCUGAUUUCUUGAUGAUGGCCAUUAUUUCUGUGGUAAGGUGAAAUCUCAAUGUUUUAAUUUGCAUUUCUCUAAUGGCCUGCAACACUGAACAAUUUUUCAUGUAUCUAUUGAUCAUUUGUACUUCUGAGAAAUGUCUGUUCAUUUCACUUGCUUAUUUCUUUUAUUUAGGGGAAAUCUAAUAUAUUGAAUUCUUCAUAUAUUCUAGAUACUACUUCUCUGUCAGGAAUAACUGGAAAAAUGUAUCCUAUUCUGUACAUUGCCAUUUCAUUCUGUUGGUUGUUUCUUUUGCUGUACAGAAGCUGUUAAAUUUGAUAUGCCGCAUUUAUUGGUUCUUAAUUUAUUGGUUCUUAUUUCCUCCACUAUGGGGUUUUUUUUUCCUGCACUAUGGGGGUUCUUUUCAAAAAAUCCUUGCUUAUGCCUAUGAAUUCAAGAAUUUACCCUAGUUAAUUUCCAGCAAAUUGUUUAUGUUUAUUACUUGGCUCUUUAAUUGACUUUGAUUUAAUUUAGUACAUGAUGAGAGAUAUGGUCUAAAUUCAACCUUCUGCACAUGAAUAGCCACUUUUCCCAGCACCAUUUAGUAAAGAGGCUUUCAUCUCAUGUAUAUUUUUGUCACCUUUGCAAAAAUCAAAUAGUUGAGUGUGCUUUGGGUUGUUUCUGUAUCCUGUAUUGUGUUCCAUUGAUGCACAUUUUUUUUUGUAGCCAGCCAUGCUAUUUUUAUUAUUGUAGCUUUAUAAUAAAACUUCAGAUCUGGGAUUAUGAUGUUAUGAUGCCUCCUACUUUACUCUUGUUACCCUACUUUUGGACUCUGGUUCUCUUUUGGCAACUCAUGAAUUUUAAGAUUGUUUUCUCUAGUUCUAUGAAGAAUGCUGUUGGUAUUUCUUGUAAUUGUGUUAAAUCUGUAUAUCAAUUUUGGAAGUAUGCUCAUUUUGUCUAUAUUGCUUCUGACUAUUCAGGAAAAUGGAAUAUCUUUCCAUCUUUGAUCUCCUUUUUCAGAAUACUAGUUUUCAUUGUUGAAGUCUUUUGUUGGCUUAGGUUAUUCCUUAAGUAUUUAAUUUUUCUUAAUACUAUUGUGAAUGGUAGUUUUUAAAUUUUUCUCUCAGUGAGUUCAUUAUUGGUGUAUAGAAACACUUGAUUUUUGUGUAUUGAUUUUGUAUCUUACUACAUUGCUGAAUUUGUUAUUUCUAGGAGUCUAUUGGUGUAUUUUGAGGGGGUCUUCUACUUAGAGAAUGAUUAUAUUUCUACAAGGAUAGUGAUGUAGCAGAAGGUAAUGACCUUGCGGUAUUAGAAAAAUCAUCAUUAAAAAGGAUCCCUGAGAAUAAUAAAACAAAGUUAAGAGAAUUAAGAAUAUACACUGACUAUCAGGGUGAUAGAAAAUGAGUUUAUUGAGUAGUAAGCAAUUCUUUGUUCCCUGUCAAAAUUUUUUAAGACUGAUGUUCAGAGAGUGGUUCACCAAUGUCAAAUAUUGUACUUUUGAGGUUCAAAUACAUAAUUAUAUUCACACAACUAUAGGAUACCCUUUAGCUCCACAUAUGUUGAUCUCUUUUUCUAUAGUUAAGUCAGCCUGUGGUAUCUGUAGCUUGGGGGUGGCAGUGUUCUUGACCACAUUUUUGACAACAUUAUUCAGUGUAAUUUAGUUUUGAGUUUUCUCCUAUCAAACUGAUUUCCAGAAUGAGGGAGGGAAAAAGAGAGGGGAAGAGAAGAAGAAGAAGAGGAAGAAAAAAGAAGAAGGAGGAGGAGGAAGAAGAAAGAAAAAAGAAAAGAAAGAAAAAGGAAGGAAGGAAGAAAAAAUAGAAGGAAAGGAAGGAAGAGAGGAGAGAAGGAGAAGAGAAAAGAAGAAAAAACUAGUUAGAGAUGAGGAUGAGGAAGGUAUCAUGAUUAAGGAGGAAAAAAUUAAAAGGGUGGUAAAGGAAUUGAAAAUGAUGAAGAUAUGUUAUAUGCAUGCACUAAUUCACCAAAAUGAACAAUCAUUAUUCUAUACUGCAAACAUAGUCUAAAACAUAAAGUAAAAUCAAAGUCUAAUAGGUCAGUGCCUUUACAAGUAGUUUUCCUUUUACAUAAUUAUUUCCAUAUGGAAAGGUGGCUCUUGCUAAACCACGAACUGGUUAUAAGUCAGUCAUACCCAAUCAUUUUAUGAAUUUAGUAUGGCUGUACAUAGAUUCUACAAAACAAACUGACUCUUCUUUUGGAACCACCUGGUAAAAAACUGUUAGAUUAAAAGAAGAAAUUUAACUUGGAUUAACUUUUGAGUUAAGAAAUGGAGAAAUUAGUUUUUUAAAUAUAAAAUCAUAAUCCUAAACUGGAUAUUGACCAAAUAAAUUUGUGUAUAACUGAAUUCAAUAUUAAAAUUAAUAACUAAAACCUUAAUAUGUCCAAGAAAGGUAUAAAGUCGCAAUCAACCUAAGAGUUGAGUAUAAUUGCUGAAAUUAUUAUAAUAGUAAUUUUUAUUUACUGUACUCAGUUUCCAGAAUAGGAUCUUGACUUAUGGAUAGAGAAUUCUAUCCAUGGUACAAUGAGGUGACAAUGGAAAAAGAAAGAAUGAGCAUUUUGAGGCAGCAGACCCAGAAACUUGGUAAAAAGAAGGCCUGGCUUACAUGAAGGGAAACCAAGAAACGUAUAUGUGAAUAUGUACGUGCAGCAUAUCUACUUAAGUACAGCUCUAACUUUGGUGCUCCACAGCAGUUCACAGUGCCCCUCUGCUCUACCCUUGUGCAAUAUGCAAUUCUUCUUGAAUAACAGUGUCUAGAAGUUUUCCAGAUUGAAUAUUGUAAUCUGAGAAUUACAGAAAGAUUUAGAACUUGAAAACUUUGCUCCCUUGUUUAAGAAAGAAAGCAUAUGUAAAAACUCAAAACCAACCAAACAGAAAAUAAGUAAGGCUGUACUCAUUAAAAACACUUUCCUGGAAAGAGGACAGCAGAGUACUACCCUGGAAAAGCAAGGUAAUAAGUAUAUCUUACAUAUUCCAGUAUUUCCUCAUUUGCUUAAUACAAAUGAAUUCCAUUGUCACCAAAAAUGUUUAAAUUAUUAAAUCACAUUUUUAUGUAAGACAAGCUAUCCUAAAAAAGGAACCCAAAGGACAUAGAAAGUUCCAAAUAUAGAAUGUUCAUUAUCAUGCAAAAGUCAGUGUCUUUUGCCACCUAGCAUUUGCUUUGCCCCUCAUCCUCAUGAUACCCAGCCCAGUUUUCACAAGUGUUCAUUCUUUCAAAGUCCUCUCUCCCUCUGUGACCUCCAGGGUGAGCGUGAUUGUCUUAAGGAAUUCCCAUUCCAUUUAGCUCAGUUCAAUGCCCCAAUCCUGAGCCAGUCAGUGAGUAGCAUUCUAUGGGCCCCAGAACUCAAGUACCAGGAUAACUGUAAUUCAUAAAAAUGAAAUUCCAGGCCGCGAGUCGCGCGGAACACACCAAAUCAGCCCGCUGCAGACAGGCAGGUCUGCGGACACCCUACCGAGGUCUCAAGUCGUGUGGAACAUGCCGAAUGAGCCCAUGCCCCGGCAACAAUCCACUGGACACCACCACCACCACCACCACCCCCAAACAGCUCCUCUGGUCUAUCCUUCUUCCCAUCUGUCCCUCCCUCCCCAACUCUUUCUAACUCCCUAUCCCAGAGGGUAAAGUUGUUAUAUUGAAGAGUUUUUUCACUAUAUGUUGGGUUGGUCCUCAAUCUUGAUUUAAUUCACACAGCUAAAGGUGAUAGAUUAAAAACUAC